rnacentral:rRNA from 1 species
AGAGUUUGAUCCUGGCUCAGGACGAACGCUGGCGGCGUGCCUAACACAUGCAAGUCGAACGAGAUCCAACGUGGAGCAAUCCACGGGAAGAUCGAGUGGCGAACGGGUGAGAAACACGUGAGAAACCUGCCCCGGACUUUGGGAUAACACGCGGAAACGCGUGCUAAUACCGAAUGCCGUCGGCGGAUCGCAUGAUCCGCUGACGAAAGGGAUUCCGGUUCGGGAGGGUCUCGCGGCCUAUCAGCUAGUUGGCGGGGUAACGGCCCACCAAGGCAGCGACGGGUAGCUGGUCUGAGAGGAUGAUCAGCCACACUGGGACUGAGACACGGCCCAGACUCCUACGGGAGGCAGCAGUGGGGAAUCUUGCGCAAUGGGCGAAAGCCUGACGCAGCAACGCCGCGUGCGGGAAGAAGGCCUUCGGGCUGUAAACCGCUUUCAGCAGGGACGAAACUGACGGUACCUGUAGAAGAAGGAGCGGCCAACUAUGUGCCAGCAGCCGCGGUGACACAUAGGCUCCAAGCGUUGUCCGGAUUCAUUGGGCGUAAAGAGCUCGUAGGCGGUCGUGUAAGUCGGGUGUGAAAACUCUGGGCUCAACCCAGAGACGCCACCCGAUACUGCUCUGACUCGAGUUCGGCAGGGGAGUGGGGAAUUCCUCGUGUAGCGGUGAAAUGCGCAGAUAUGAGGAGGAACACCGGUGGCGAAGGCGCCACUCUGGGCCGAUACUGACGCUGAGGAGCGAAAGCACGGGUAGCAAACAGGAUUAGAUACCCUGGUAGUCCGUGCCGUAAACGGUGGGCACUAGGUGUGGGAUUCAACUAACGGAUUCCGCGCCGUCGCUA